rnacentral:misc_RNA from 1 species
UCUUCGUUGGUGAACCAGCGGAGGGAUCAUUACAGGACUCGCAAGACUCCUACAACCCUGUGAACUUAACUAUAAGCACGUUGCUUCGGCGGGUGUCUCGGAGGGGGUUCUCCCUCCCCGAGACGCUAAACCCGCCGGCAGCCUACUAUACUCUGUCUCUUUGCGUUGGCAUCUCGAGUACAAUCAAACAAGUUGAAACUUUCAACAACGGAUCUCUUGGUUCUG